UUUUUUUCUUUUUUAUUUUUAUUUAUUUUUUGAUAAAUAUACCAUUUUAUCAGUAUAUGAUAUCUAAAAAAAUAAUGGCAUUUGGUAAGCGAGAGGGGGCUUGCACCUAGUUCAUUUAUAUAUUUAUAUUUGUACCCGGUACGCGGUAAAUAGGUUAUAUUGUAUGUGUGCUCGAAGUGGAUGUAUGUAACGCACAGAUGGAAGCGUUUCCGACUAAAUAAAGUAUUUACGUGUACUCUUGACCAGAACUAAUAGCCGAGUGGGCUAAUUCUCAGACCAUAGCAGCUAGAGCAACCAAGUGUUUCAUCCAGACUGCUGUGACAUCACACUGUUACAAGUGUAUUUCAAAAUUUCGCCCCACCCCCUUCCGCUC
rnacentral:lncRNA from 1 species